rnacentral:rRNA from 1 species
AUUGAACGCUGGCGGCAGGCCUAACACAUGCAAGUCUAGCGAGCGGCGGGCGGGUGAGUAAUGUCUGGGAAACAGCCUGAUGGAGGGGGAUAACUACUGGAAACGGUAGCUAAUACCGCAUACAAUAAGAUGUGCCCAGAUGGGAUUAGCUAGUAGUUGGGGUAACGGCUCACCUAGGCGACGAUCCCUAGCUGGUUGGCGAGGAUGACCAGCCACACUGGAACUGAGACACGGGCCAGACUCCUACGGGAGGCAGCAGGGGGGAAGAUUGCACAAGGGGCGCAAGCCUGAUGCAGCCAUGCCGCGUGUGUGAAGAAGGCCUUCGGGUUGUAAAGCACUUUCAGCGGGGAGGCGUUACCCGCACAAGAAGCACCGGCUAACUCCGUGCCAGCAGCCGCGGUAAUAC